UACAGAGGGUGCGAGCGUUAAUCGGAAUUAUUGGGCGUAAAGAGCGUGUAGGCGGUCCGGUAAGUCAGCUGUGAAAGUCAAGGGCUCAACCCUUGAAAGCCGGUUGAUACUGUCGGGCUAGAGUCCGGAAGAGGCGAGUGGAAUUCCCGGUGUAGCGGUGAAAUGCGCAGAUAUCGGGAGGAACACCAAUGGCGAAGGCAGCUUGCUGGGACGGUACUGACGCUGAGACGCGAAAGCGUGGGGAGCAAACAGG
rnacentral:rRNA from 1 species